rnacentral:rRNA from 1 species
CCUACGGGUGGCAGCAGUAGGGAAUAUUGCUCAAUGGGGGAAACCCUGAAGCAGCAACGCCGCGUGGAGGAUGAAGGUUUUCGGAUUGUAAACUCCUUUUGUAAGAGAGGAAAAUGACGGUAUCUAACGAAUAAGCACCGGCUAACUACGUGCCAGCAGCCGCGGUAAUACGGAGGGUGCAAGCGUUACUCGGAAUCACUGGGCGUAAAGAGCGGGGAGGCGGGAAAGCAAGUCAGAUGGGAAAUCCUAGGGCUUAACCAUAGAACUGCAUGUGAAACUGUUAUGCUAGAGUAUGGUAGAGGUAAGUGGAAUUCUUGGUGUAGGGGUAAAAUCCGUAGAGAUCAAGAGGAAUACUCAUUGCGAAGGCGGCCUGCUAGAACAUUUCUGACGCUGAUGCGCGAAAGCGUGGGGAGCAAACAGGAUUAGAUACCCGUGUAGUC